AACGCACAUUGCGCCCGCCAGCACUCUGGCGGGCAUGCCUGUUCGAGCGUCAUUUCAACCAUCAAGCCCCAGGCUUGCGUUGGAGCCCUGCGGCUGCCGCAGCCUCCUAAAAGCAGUGGCGGGCUCGCUAUCACACCGAGUGCAGUAGAUUACUCUUCGCUCAGGGCGUGUGGCGGGUUCCAGCCGUGAAACCCCCUACUUCUCAAGGUUGACCUCGGAUCAGGUAGGAAUACCCGCUGAACUUAA
rnacentral:misc_RNA from 1 species